rnacentral:rRNA from 1 species
CAGUCGCCGCGGGAAAACGGAGGGAGCUAGCGUUGUUCGGAAUUACUGGGCGUAAAGCGCACGUAGGCGGCUUUGUAAGUUAGAGGUGAAAGCCUGGAGCUCAACUCCAGAAUUGCCUUUAAGACUGCAUCGCUUGAAUCCGGGAGAGGUGAGUGGAAUUCCGAGUGUAGAGGUGAAAUUCGUAGAUAUUCGGAAGAACACCAGUGGCGAAGGCGGCUCACUGGACCGGCAUUGACGCUGAGGUGCGAAAGCGUGGGGAGCAAACAGGAUUAGAUACCCCUGUAGUCCCUGUCUCUUAUAC